rnacentral:rRNA from 1 species
AUUGAACGCUGGCGGCAGGCCUAACACAUGCAAGUCGAGCGGAGCGGCGGACGGGUGAGUAAUUCCUAGGAAUCUGCCUGGUAGUGGGGGAUAACGUCCGGAAACGGGCGCUAAUACCGCAUACUAUCAGAUGAGCCUAGGUCGGAUUAGCUAGUUGGUGGGGUAAAGGCCUACCAGGGCGACGAUCCGUAACUGGUCUGAGAGGAUGCUCAGUCACACUGAAACUGAGACACGGUCCAGACUCGUACGGGAAGCGUCAGGGGGGAAUAUUGGAGAAUGGGCGAAAACCUGAUCCAGCCAUGCCGGGUCGGUGAGGAAGGUCUUCGGAUUGUAAAGUACUUUCGGCGGUGAGGCGUUACCCUCAGAAGAAGCACCGGCUAACUCCGUGCCAGCAGCCGCGGUAAUAC